UGGUUCAGUGGUUAAGAACACUGGAUGUUCUUCUAGAAGACCUGGGUUCAAUUCCCAG
rnacentral:tRNA from 1 species